CCAAGGAAACGGCAAAGGCAACUAUAACGAUCGUAAGUUGGAGAAAUACCUUUUGGGGAAAGUCGGGAAGCGGACAAAAGGCGUAACGAAGUGGGCAAUGUGUCAACAGCGGACUCGGUGGAAUUGGAAGUCCGAGGAAGAUGCCGGAUACCUGCGCCAGGAGGGAAAGAGCACAUGGUGCUUUACUGUAGCUUGACAUUGGGUCUUGGUACUACAUGUAAAGGAUAGGUGGGAGGCUUUGAAACCAGGACGACAGUUUUGGCGGAGCCAUCCUUGGGAUACCAACCUGUGAGUACUGUGACUCUAACCAUAGGCAAUGAAUGUGGUCUACGGAGACAGUCAGGUGGGCAGGUUGCGUGGGGCGGUGGACGCCCGAAGAGGAACAGGAGCGCCAAAGGGUUCUCUCAGCACGCAAGGACACCGUCCAUGUGACGUAAAGGAGAAGG
rnacentral:rRNA from 1 species